rnacentral:lncRNA from 1 species
CUCCUCUGUCUUUGCACAUGGAGAUCUGACUAGUGGCUGAAUAUGUUAAGAACAUUGGGCAUCAUUCUGUAGGAAACCUCAGCCAGCCAAACCUUCCACAUCUCCCAUGUUUGUCACUUCUGGACAAAGACAAGGAGUGAAGAUGACAAUCCUGCCAAGCUUGAAGCUUAUAGCUUUAGACAUUUCUGAGUUACACAAUCACAAGAAAGAGAUUGAAGUAUUUU